CCUACGGGAGGCAGCAGUAGGGAAUUUUGCUCAAUGGGGGAAACCCUGAAGCAGCAACGCCGCGUGGAGGAUGAAGGUUUUAGGAUUGUAAACUCCUUUUGUUAGAGAAGAUUAUGACGGUAUCUAACGAAUAAGCACCGGCGAACUCCGUGCCAGCAGCCGCGGUAAUACGGAGGGUGCAAGCGUUACUCGGAAUCACUGGGCGUAAAGAGUGCGUAGGCGGGGUAAUAAGUCAGAUGUGAAAUCCUGUGGCUUAACUACAGAACUGCAUUUGAAACUGUUACUCUGGAGUGUGGGAGAGGUAGGUGGAAUUCUAGGUGUAGGGGUAAAAUCCGUAGAGAUCAAGAGGAAUACUCAUGGCGAAGGCGACCUGCUGGAACAUUACUGACGCUGAUGCACGAAAGCGUGGGGAGCAAACAGGAUUAGAUACCCCAGUAGUC
rnacentral:rRNA from 1 species